UGGUGGAGCGAUUUGUCUGGUUAAUUCCGAUAACGAACGAGACUCUAGCCUAUUAAAUAGUUCGCCGAUUUUUCGUAGUCGGCGUCAACUUCUUAGAGGGACAAGUGUCGUAUAGGCACACGAGAUUGAGCAAUAACA
rnacentral:rRNA from 1 species